CGCUCUGCGGCCGAUGACAGCACGGCUGCUGAGCCUCUGAUUGCUUAAUCUCAAAGUACACCCCCUGAUGGACCGUGG